UGGGGAAUAUUGGACAAUGGGCGCAAGCCUGAUCCAGCCAUGCCGCGUGUGUGAAGAAGGCCUUCGGGUUGUAAAGCACUUUUGUUGGGGAAGAAAAGCAUUCGGUUAAUACCCGGGUGUCCUGACGGUACCCAAAGAAUAAGCACCGGCUAACUUCGUGCCAGCAGCCGCGGUAAUACGAAGGGUGCAAGCGUUACUCGGAAUUACUGGGCGUAAAGCGUGCGUAGGUGGUCUGUUAAGUCUGAUGUGAAAGCCCCGGGCUCAACCUGGGAAUGGCAUUGGAUACUGGCAGUCUAGAGUGCGGUAGAGGGGUGUGGAAUUCCCGGUGUAGCAGUGAAAUGCGUAGAUAUCGGGAGGAACAUCCGUGGCGAAGGCGACACCCUGGACCAGCACUGACACUGAGGCACGAAAGCGUGGGGAGCAAACA
rnacentral:rRNA from 1 species